rnacentral:pre_miRNA from 1 species
AGUGAAAAUUCAUACAUUUCUACGGUUAAAAAUUGGCAUGACUGACAGAAUAACAAAACAAUGGCACGUGGGGUGUCAUGUAUACCUCAUACUGACGUACAAUGACCAAUUUUUAACAGUAGAAGUAGAUGAAAUUUUUAACA